rnacentral:rRNA from 1 species
AAGUCGUAACAAGGUUUCCGUAGGUGAACCUGCGGAAGGAUCAUUAUCGAAUAAACUUGAACAGGCUGUUUUCUGCUGGUCCCUCUCGGGGGGCAUGUGCACGCUUGUCUCAUCUUUAUCAUCUCUCCAACUGUGCACCUCUUGUAGACCCUGGCUGUCUUGGAUUUCGGUUCGAGUGGGGACUGCUGUGCUGUGAAAGUUCAGCUUUGCCCCCCCCUUUCAUAUAUCCAGGUCUAUGUUUCUGCUCACAACCUCUCAAAAGUGUUUAGAAUGUACCUAUUAAAAGUUGAAUAUACAACUUUCAGCAACGGAUCUCUUGGCUCUCGCAUCGAUGAAGAACGCAGCGAAAUGCGAUAAGUAAUGUGAAUUGCAGAAUUCAGUGAAUCAUCGAAUCUUUGAACGCAUCUUGCGCUCCUUGGUAUUCCGAGGAGCAUGCCUGUUUGAGUGUCAUUUAACUUCUCAACCACGUCGUCGUGAUGUGGCUUGGAUUGGUGGGGGCUCUUUGCAGGUCCUUCUUUUUUGUCUGGCCUGCUCCCCUGAAAUGCAUUAGCGGUAUCUGAGCAGCUGCUGUGGGUGUGAUAAAUCUAUCUAUGCCUCUUUGGUGUGCUGCAUGAGCAGAUUGUGCCGCUUCCAACCAUAAAAUGACGAAUUUGACCUCAAAUCAGGUAGGACUACCCGCUGAACUUAAGCAUAUCAAUAAGCGGAGGAAAAGAAACUAACAAGGAUUCCCCUAGUAACUGCGAGUGAAGCGGGAAAAGCUCAAAUUUGAAAUCUGGCGGUUCCUUGGGCCGUCCGAGUUGUAAUCUAGAGAAGUGUUACCUGUGCUGGACCGUGUACAAGUCUCCUGGAAUGGAGCAUCGCAGAGGGUGAGAAUCCCGUCUUUGACACGGACUGCCUGUGCGGUAUGGUGCGCUCUCGAAGAGUCGAGUUGUUUGGGAAUGCAGCUCAAAAUGGGUGGUAAAUGCCAUCUAAAGCUAAAUAUUGGCGAGAGACCGAUAGCGAACAAGUACCGUGAGGGAAAGAUGAAAAGAACUUUGGAAAGAGAGUUAAACAGUACGUGAAAUUGCUGAAAGGGAAACGCUUGAAGUCAGUCGCGUCGGCUAGAAAUCAGCCUUGCUUUUGCUUGGUGUACUUUCUUGUUCGACGGGUCAGCAUCAAUUUUGACCGUCGGAUAAAGUCGUUGGGAAUGUGGCAUCUUAGGAUGUGUUAUAGCCCAUUGUCGCAUACGGCGGUCGGGAUUGAGGAACUCAGCACGCCGCGAGGCCGGGUCAUCUUUUUGACCACGUUCGUGCUUAGGAUGCUGGCAUAAUGGCUUUAAUCGACC